ACAAACUUUUUCAUUUCCUUCGUAAACCUUCUCCCUCUUUCGUCAUUCUUUCUUUAAACAAAUAUGAAAAAAGUUGCAUCUUCUUUCCAUUUUGGACUGAUUUUGAGGGCGCAUAAAGAGGUUUGGAGAGAAUUUUGCUGGGUUUUAGUACUGUUUGAAUUUAUUCCAUGUUAAUUUACAUUUGUUUUUUCUACUUAGGCUAUGAACAGAGUUCAGUCAACUAUAAUUUUGAGCAUAUAUACUUUCGAUGCUUUUUUUCUGAGGUUGAAAGUUCAAAUUUUGGGGUGGAGUAUACGAAUCUCUUACUUCUAGUCCACCCUUCAAAUGGUUGUAAUCUCUUCCUCGUCUUUAUAAUUUAGUCUUCAGUAAUUGAAGUUAAUGUUUAAUUUUAUAUUUUAAAUACAAUUUUCAUUUUAUUAAAAUUAUAUUUCAAUCACAAAAAAUACAUUUUAAAUUUUAAAUAAGAAAAUAUUUUUACAAAAAUAUAUAUUUUUUUAAAAAAAUAAAUAUCUAUUGCUAACAGCUUGUGAUUUAUUACUUAUAUAAAGGCACAUGUAUGCAUUCAAAUUUUAAUUACAUACUUCAAAUUGUUGAAAUGUGUCUAAUUAACUUUGAAUUGUUCUAAUACAACUUAUAAAUGACAACUAAGGUAUGUUUAACGAGUGACUAGAAUUUUCAUAGCAUAUAUAGCAUAAUUUAUAAAAAGUAUUGACGAAUAUUGACUAGAAAACAAAUGAAUUAAUCAGUAAGAACUGAUUCUUAGACAAUAUCAUAGUAAUGUCAGUGUUAUUUAAUCACUAUCGCACCAAUUCAGGAGGUAAGAAAAAUGACAUUCGAAUCAUAAAUCUCUUAAUCGUUAACAAACAAAAAAAAUCUAAAAACAUAAUUAAAUUUGUUUGUUCAAAGUUUGUGGAUUCGAAUGUGACCCACCUCAAGUGGGUGUUUUCUUGUCCCCUUUGUAGUCAAUCAUGCUUCCAUAUUCAAUUGCAUUUGGUGAAGAAAGACAUUUCCACUUAUAAUUUAUUGUUUAAUCUUCUUGUAUGAACCUCAAAUCUUGUUGUCCAUUUUAUAGUUUAUAUUAUUGGUUGUCUCUUCUUUGUUCCUUCCUUAGUUCUGUUGCUUCUUUUCUUCUUCUUUUUUUACAUUUUGUGUCCUUGAGUUUGACGAAUAAUUUGAAUUUCUCUGACUUGUUGAUAAAGAAUAAAGAACCAUAACUUCACGUGAGUUAAAUUAUCCAGCUCUUAUUGGCUUUUCAGUUAGUUAAGUACUUUAUUGCAUGUAGCUAGCCAUAUUAGUUUUAAUGCAUACUAUUGUUUAACUUUUAUGAUUUUCACCGCAAUAUAAUUAAACAUUAGUAUUUGAAUCUAUAGCAUUAAGAAAAUAAAAAAUGCAUUCUAUUUACCGUUAAACUAUACUCAUGUUGUAUUUUUAAACAUUAGUACUUGCUUGUAUAGUUGUGUUUAUAAUAUAUUACGUUUCUAAAAUGAUUUGAUUGAAUGUGAAAGAUAUGUAUCGUAACCUUUUGAAACGAUAUUUGUUAAAUUAGAAAGGGAAUUUACAUUUUGCUAAUAGAUUGUAAAUAAAAUUAUAAAUUUUCUUACCUAUAAUAGUACUUAGUCAUGUUUAUAGGUGCACUAAGUUUAGCAGACCUUUGUUGUAUUGUGUCUUUAAACCUUACUCAACUCAACAAAGUUGGUAAAACUCUCUACGACUAUCAUUAAGAUAACUGAUGAGCUGACGUGAAUGUGCAGGAUAUAUAUGGUUUGUUUACGACAAGCAACAAAUAAUAGUUCAAACUACCAUUGAAAAAUUUCUCAUCCAACGAGCAAAUUCUUCCAUAAGUAAAGUGAUCUAUUGCAAUCAUAUAACCAUUCAAAUCAAUGUUAUAUAUACUAACUCACUAAUUAUAAUUAUGAUCUAUACAUUUGUACAAUAAAAACUAGUAAAAAGGAGUAAGAUCAUUUGGCAAGUUGAGGACAUCAAAAUAUUCCAAACUUUCAAAAACAAUCUUACUUAAUCAUGUGAAUGAAAUUAUAUAUAUAAAUGAUAAAUUUAGUCG
rnacentral:lncRNA from 1 species